rnacentral:rRNA from 1 species
UGGGGAAUAUUGCACAAUGGGCGAAAGCCUGAUGCAGCAACGCCGCGUGCGGGAAGACGGCCUUAGGGUUGUAAACCGCUUUCAGCAGGGAAGAAAAUGACGGUACCUGCAGAAGAAGGUGCGGCCAACUACGUGCCAGCAGCCGCGGUGACACGUAGGCACCAAGCGUUGUCCGGAUUUAUUGGGCGUAAAGAGCUCGUAGGCGGUUCAGUAAGUCGGGUGUGAAAACUCAGGGCUCAACCCUGAGAGGCCACUCGAUACUGCUGUGACUCGAGUACGGUAGGGGAGCGGGGAAUUCCUGGUGUAGCGGUGAAAUGCGCAGAUAUCAGGAGGAACACCAGUGGCGAAGGCGCCGCUCUGGGCCGUAACUGACGCUGAGGAGCGAAAGCGUGGGUAGCAA